UGACACUUCCUGACUCUCUCUUGGCCCCACUGAGAGACCUGUGGUUACAAGAGCUGGUGAAUAUUGAGACCUAUGCUCCAACCGUGGGUACGAAGGAUGAAAGUGGACAAAAUUGUAAGAAAGACUCAGUAAGAAGAUGCCAAUUGAAACUAGAAGAAAACUGAAUCAGAUGCAGUUGUCUCAGUCUAGAGCAAGCAGCCUAACCCUUUACAUAGGAAUAUAAGGAGAAUUAACUCCUUACUCACAAGAAUUACCACCAAAAAGCAACCAGAAGAACUCCGUGGACAGAGAAAAGAGCUGUGAGGACACAUCAGAAAGUAGAUGCAACUGAGCCUAAAACUUGGCAUCUGAUACUUCCACUGGGAAAUAAUUCUAUCAGAGAACACUGGUAAGGUAUCCAUAAC
rnacentral:lncRNA from 1 species